CUUCGAGGGUGCCGCGCCAGCAUCCGCCCGAAACGCUACAGCGCCUAGGAUCAGCGGGAGAGCGCUGCAGUGCUGACUUGAGGCUUUUCGUUCCAUCCGUUGGUGAGGUGAUCGGCGGUAACCAAUGUGUCGUUGGUGUGAUCUAGACAGCGGCUGUGUGUUUAUAUGGAACAGAUAAUUGGUAACGGGCUGGCCUCUUGCCAGAACGGGCAACAGCACCUGACCCAGACGAGGCGAAAGCAGGGAUUCAAGGCGGUGACCGGGUAACUGUGGUAGGUAGGUAGGUAUCCAGGCUCACAUGAGCGUAAUGAAGCGGUACAAGGCAGCUUUUGGCUGCUUGUGGCGUUUAGGGUACGGAUACACAGGUACCGGCGCGUGAUGAAGCGAUGCGAGGCAGCAGCUGGAUAGAGGUAGCGUGCUGGUCUCGCACUAAUUUGUACAAUGGUUCGAUCGACGCGGUGCCUCGCAUCAGGGUUUCUUGUUCGGCUGAGGUCGUAUUGAUUUGGAUGCAGAGAUCGCUUUCGAGCGGUUCGGACGAAGCGCACUUUACCACUGGUCGCUACGACGGACUGGUAUGCGAAUGUAGACGUGCACUCCAAUCUAGUACGCUGCGGGCUGCCGCUCGCUGCCAAGCCGCGGACUUGUACGAAGGCACCUCGUUCGCGUGGCUGCGGGCCCUCUGGGGCCCCACGUACGGUAUCUGCUCCUUGUCGCUUCAGGGUACACGGGGCAGUCACGGCGAUGCGAUUCAGCGCCCCGGUGUGUGUGUGUGUGUCUGUCUGUCUGUCUGUCUGUCUGUCUGUCUAUGAUCGUGAUCCUACGCAAGUCUCGUGUGCAUCCGCUGUGCUCGAUGUUCACGAGCGUUAGCGACCAGCGCAUCGGUGUGUACGCACGUCAUGUCGCGCAGAUCUCGUUUGUAUCCAAUAUGCCGGAUGUUCACGAGCGUCAGCGUUGAAGUUUGAUUUUGGAACCCGGCGUGGUGCUUUUUCGAAAGCCUUGCCCAGAUCCUGGACGGAGGCAGCAGCCCCGUGAAAUCUCCACACCGAUUCGAAUGUCUUGAAUACCAAGUGCCUCUCCAAGGGUACCUACAAAGCUGCCUGCCUGGUUUCGAGAACAGAUCAGCGAUUGGGCGCCGCAUGAGCGUCCACGAGCUCGUUGCGAUGCUAGUACUCUUUCGCGCAGCACUGGCACGGUAUCGUGUCGCCGUAUCGCGUGCAGUGCGGGUGUUGUCGCGUAAUGAACGCUCGAAGCGCAUGUGACGGCUUUGCGAGUGCCUCAGAAACGCACGCUAGACAGCGCACAUACGCAUGUCCACGACCUCCGAAUUCCACGCGUUUUUCCGUGAAACGUAACAUGCUGCGGACGCUGCCUCCAGACAUGGAGCCGUCAUUGUGGCUUCGACCCCGUACAAGUCGCUUCACUCUUCCUCGGGUGCUGCUGGACCAAAAGGUCGCAAGUUUUUGGAUCCAAUGCGCUUCUGCUGUCCUGAGAGCUCGCGCUUGUGCUCAGAACGGCAGAAUGCCCGAUGCACUGAAUAAAACCGCGUCAAAUCCAAUGAUCCAGGCAACUGGAGCCCAAGGCCGCUCUUCCGCAUUUGAGCUUCUGCCACGACAACAUGAACCGCAGUGCAGCGGCCGUCCUGCAGCCGUCACCGAUCAAACGUACCGGCCUGGCUGCGCUGCAGCGCGUCUCUAAAGCGAAGCUGUCUCAUGACACCGGGCGAGAUGGAUGUGUCGGGAGGGGUCGCAUCCAUCUCGCCCGCGCUAUCGGAGGAGCCAGAGCCUCCAGCACGAGUCGCUCGAGCGCUCGCUCUAUCGAUACUCGCCAUUUUUAGGAGGAGCACACCGAUUCUCGGCUUUCCGGCUUUCGAGUCUCCACAGAGACACCCGAAACCUGAUAAGCUCACUGCACGCAGCACCCGCAACAGCCACCUUGAUCGGAGGCGGCAGCCUCAUUUCGCUCUCGUUUACCUUGCAACUUGCCGUUUGCACUCGCCAAAGGCUCAUCGCUGUCGCCAAAGGAUUCCUCAUGACUCGUAGAGAGCGCUGCUUUGGCGGCAGCGCGGAAUGCGCGCUCGACGUUCGUUCCCGUGCGAGAAGAGACUUCCACGUACGCAGCGGCACCUAUUCGUCGUGCAAAACGAACACCUUCUUCAGUCAGCACAAUGCGAGCGAUCGCCGAAGAGCCCUGCAAAACAGAUUGAUCUCGGAGAUCCGCUUUGGUUCCGAUCAAGACGAACGGCACCUCUGGGUCAAAGUCGCGCAUCUCAGCGAGCCAUCGCUGCGCGCAGUGCUCGAACGUGCGACGGUCCACAAGGGAAAAGCAUAAAAUAAACACAUCCAAACCGGGAUGAUAAACGUAU
rnacentral:misc_RNA from 1 species